rnacentral:rRNA from 1 species
CCUACGGGAGGCAGCAGUGAGGAAUAUUGGUCAAUGGGCGGACGCCUGAACCAGCCAAGUAGCGUGCGGGAUGAAGGCCCUACGGGUCGUAAACCGCUUUUGCACGGGGAUAACACCCUCCACUUGUGGAGGUCUGCAGGUACCGUGCGAAUAAGGGCCGGCUAAUUCCGUGCCAGCCGCCGCGGUAAUACGGAAGGCCCGAGCGUUAUCCGGAUUCAUUGGGCUUAAGGGGAGGGUAGGCGGGCGUUCAAGUCAGCUUGAAAAUCGCGCGGCUCAACCGCGCCCCGCAGUUGAAACUGGACGCAUUGAGUUCACAACAGGCAGGCGGAAUUCGGGGUGUAGCGGUGAAAUGCAGAGAUAUCACGAGGAACCCCGAUUGCGAAGGCAGCCUGCCGGGGUGCGACUGACGCUGAGGCUCGAAGGUGCGGGUAUCAAACAGGAUUAGAUACCCCAGUAGUC